rnacentral:miRNA from 1 species
CCUAUUCAUGAUUACUUGUACU